rnacentral:rRNA from 1 species
UACGGGGGGGGCAAGCGUUGUUCGGAAUUACUGGGCGUAAAGGGCUCGUAGGCGGCCAACUAAGUCAGACGUGAAAUCCCUCGGCUUAACCGGGGAACUGCGUCUGAUACUGGAUGGCUUGAGGUUGGGAGAGGGAUGCGGAAUUCCAGGUGUAGCGGUGAAAUGCGUAGAUAUCUGGAGGAACACCGGUGGCGAAGGCGGCAUCCUGGACCAAUACUGACACUCAGGUGCGACAGCGUGGGGAGCAAACAGG